AAAGGCUUAGUUAAAUCAUAACGUUAAUUUGUCAGAUUAUUAUUACCCCUUAGGUAGCCUUUA
rnacentral:tRNA from 1 species